rnacentral:lncRNA from 1 species
GUAAGGGAGGAGGUGGUAGUAAAGAAACCUUUAGACUGAAAAAUGUAAAGGUACAAUAUGAAAGGAGAAAAAAAACAACAAAAGAACCCACCAUGGAAGUUUCAACCCACCACCACCACAUGGUGCCAAAAACUUCAAAAUGGAACAUUUCUUAUAUUGGCACAUAUUUUUGUGAGAACAAACAUAUGGUUGUGAGCAUAUUCUUACCUUCAUUGUGAUCUGCAUAUUUCCUCUCUGCAGGAAAAUUUAAAUGCACUGUUGACAUCUUUUUAUAGUCACAUAAUAAGAAAGCAGGCAAAGAAAUGUUAUGAUUGGACUUAUUCAUGAGAUACCACAGACUCUAAUAUAUGAAGAUUUUCAUAUUUACACUACUGGUGAAUCUCUAGUUGUAUACCUGCCUCUGUGGUCUCAUUGUUGGUCCCUAGGAUAGCUUAUAAAUAAAAACAGAUGAUACUGUCUACUGGCCAGAACAAGCUCACAACUCACUUUCUACUCCAUUCUCAAGUGACUAUGUAGAGAAAGAUGGAUGGUUGAGGUCAGGAUUUGGAGUUCUCUGGCUAACUGCAUAUUAACUUUGUUAUCAUCGCCAAUAUUAUCACCUGACAGAGAAACAGACUUGAUGGAUUUGGGCUUUAGCCCUGACUUCAUCACAAAUUAACAGUGUCAUCUUGGAUGCUAA